UACGUAGGGCGCAAGCGUUAUCCGGAAUUAUUGGGCGUAAAGAGCUCGUAGGCGGUUUGUCGCGUCUGCCGUGAAAGUCCGGGGCUCAACUCCGGAUCUGCGGUGGGUACGGGCAGACUAGAGUGAUGUAGGGGAGACUGGAAUUCCUGGUGUAGCGGUGAAAUGCGUUGAGAUCGACAGGAACGCCGGUGGCGAAAGCGGGCCGCUGGCCCUCUUCUGACGCUGAGGCGCGAAAGCCAGGGGAGCGAACGGG
rnacentral:rRNA from 1 species